AAUGACAUCACUUUCAGAUUUCCGUGUCUAACUUUUAACCGUUCGUCUUAUUAAAAAAUUGUAUUUAGUAUUUUCAUUGUUAUUAGAUGGUAACCCAUGAAUAGUACUUCAUGCAUGACUAUUGUUUCUUAAUUUAUUCAUAAAAUUCUUGAAUAAGACGAACAAUCAAAAUUGGAUACGGAAAUCCAGAAAUUAAG
rfam:Leersia perrieri chromosome 8, whole genome shotgun sequence.